rnacentral:rRNA from 1 species
GAUGAACGCUGGCGGCGUGCCUAAUACAUGCAAGUAGAACGCUGAAGCUUGGUGCUUGCACCGAGCGGAUGAGUUGCGAACGGGUGAGUAACGCGUAGGUAACCUGCCUGGUAGCGGGGGAUAACUAUUGGAAACGAUAGCUAAUACCGCAUGACAACAGUUAUUGCAUGAUAACUGUUUAAAAGGGGCAAUUGCUCCACUACCAGAUGGACCUGCGUUGUAUUAGCUAGUUGGUGAGGUAACGGCUCACCAAGGCGACGAUACAUAGCCGACCUGAGAGGGUGAUCGGCCACACUGGGACUGAGACACGGCCCAGACUCCUACGGGAGGCAGCAGUAGGGGAUCUUCGGCAAUGGACGGAAGUCUGACCGAGCAACGCCGCGUGAGUGAAGAAGGUUUUCGGAUCGUAAAGCUCUGUUGUAAGAGAAGAACGAGUGUG